rnacentral:rRNA from 1 species
UGUGGCGUUGCCCAGACAACUAGGAUGUUGGCUUAGAAGCAGCCAUCAUUUAAAGAGUGCGUAAUAGCUCACUAGUCGAGUGACACUGCGCCGAAAAUGUACCGGGGCUAAACAUAUUACCGAAGCUGUGGAUUGUCCUUUGGACAAUGGUAGGAGAGCGUUCUAAGGGCGUCGAAGCAUGAUCGCAAGGACAUGUGGAGCGCUUAGAAGUGAGAAUGCCGGUGUGAGUAGCGAAAGACGGGUGAGAAUCCCGUCCACCGAUUGACUAAGGUUUCCAGAGGAAGGCUCGUCCGCUCUGGGUUAGUCGGGUCCUAAGCUGAGGCCGACAGGCGUAGGCGAUGGAUAACAGGUUGAUAUUCCUGUACCACCUAGUAUCGUUUUAAUCGAUGGGGGGACGCAGUAGGAUAGGCGAAGCGUGCUGUUGGAGUGCACGUCCAAGCAGUAAGGCUGAGUGUUAGGCAAAUCCGGCACUCAUAAGGCUGAGCUGUGAUGGGGAGAGGAAAUUGUUUCCUCGAGUCGUUGAUUUCACACUGCCGAGAAAAGCCUCUAGAUAGAUAACAGGUGCCCGUACCGCAAACCGACACAGGUAGUCAAGAUGAGAAUUCUAAGGUGAGCGAGCGAACUCUCGUUAAGGAACUCGGCAAAAUGACCCCGUAACUUCGGGAGAAGGGGUGCUCUUUAGGGUUCACGCCCAGAAGAGCCGCAGUGAAUAGGCCCAAGCGACUGUUUAUCAAAAACACAGGUCUCUGCUAAACCGUAAGGUGAUGUAUAGGGGCUGACGCCUGCCCGGUGCUGGAAGGUUAAGAGGAGUGGUUAGCUUCUGCGAAGCUACGAAUCGAAGCCCCAGUAAACGGCGGCCGUAACUAUAACGGUCCUAAGGUAGCGAAAUUCCUUGUCGGGUAAGUUCCGACCCGCACGAAAGGCGUAACGAUUUGGGCACUGUCUCAACGAGAGACUCGGUGAAAUCAUAGUACCUGUGAAGAUGCAGGUUACCCGCGACAGGACGGAAAGACCCCGUGGAGCUUUACUGUAGCCUGAUAUUGAAAUUCGGCACAGCUUGUACAGGAUAGGUAGGAGCCUUUGAAACGUGAGCGCUAGCUUACGUGGAGGCGUUGGUGGGAUACUACCCUAGCUGUGUUGGCUUUCUAACCCGCACCACUUAUCGUGGUGGGAGACAGUGUCAGGCGGGCAGUUUGACUGGGGCGGUCGCCUCCUAAAAGGUAACGGAGGCGCUCAAAGGUUCCCUCAGAAUGGUUGGAAAUCAUUCAUAGAGUGUAAAGGCAUAAGGGAGCUUGACUGCGAGACCUACAAGUCGAGCAGGGUCGAAAGACGGACUUAGUGAUCCGGUGGUUCCGCAUGGAAGGGCCAUCGCUCAACGGAUAAAAGCUACCCCGGGGAUAACAGGCUUAUCUCCCCCAAGAGUUCACAUCGACGGGGAGGUUUGGCACCUCGAUGUCGGCUCAUCGCAUCCUGGGGCUGUAGUCGGUCCCAAGGGUUGGGCUGUUCGCCCAUUAAAGCGGUACGCUAGCUGGGUUCAGAACGUCGUGAGACAGUUCGGUCCCUAUCCGUCGUGGGCGUAGGAAAUUUGAGAGGAGCUGUCCUUAGUACGAGAGGACCGGGAUGGACAUACCUCUGGUGUACCAGUUGUCGUGCCAACGGCAUAGCUGGGUAGCUAUGUAUGGACGGGAUAAGUGCUGAAAGCAUCUAAGCAUGAAGCCCCCCUCAAGAUGAGAUUUCCCAACUUCGGUUAUAAGAUCCCUCGAAGAUGACGAGGUUAAUAGGUUCGAGGUGGAAGCGUGGUGACACGUGGAGCUGACGAAUACUAAUCGAUCGAAGACUUAAUCAAUUUUUAAA